UCCGGCUUAUCACCGGCAGUUUUCUCAGAGUGCUCAGCUUGACCUGGUAGCAACAGAGAAUGAGGGUUGCGCUCGUUGCGGGACUUAACCCAACAUCUCACGACACGAGCUGACGACAGCCAUGCAGCACCUGUGCUCCUCCCACCCGAGGUGAAGGAACGCCUUUCAGCGCUCCAAAGAGGGCAAGUCGAGUCCUGGUAAGGUUCUUCGCGUUGCCUCGAAUUAAACCACAUGUUCCACCGCUUGUGCGGGUCCCCGUCAAUUCCUUUGAGUUUUAAUCUUGCGACCGUACUCCCCAGGCGGGAUGCUUAACGCGUUAGCUACGCCACUGAAGGGGAACCCCCCAACGGCUAGCAUCCAUCGUUUACAGCGCGGACUAC
rnacentral:misc_RNA from 1 species